rnacentral:rRNA from 13 species
AGUAAUCCAACUCAGUACGAGAGGAACCGUUGGUUCACAUAAUUGGUAAAUGCGGUUGCCUGAAAAGGCAGUGCCGCGAAGCUACCAUGUGUAGGAUUAUGACUGAACGCCUCUAAGUCAGAAUCCAUGCUGGAAAGCGACGAUAGCCACCUUUCCACGACCCACUACGUGAGUAACGAUAGGGCGCCUCCCUUGUGGGGACGCCCCUGCAUCAUACAAGCGCGGCCUCUCUUUUCCUGGCGCAAAACUUUGCCGGGGAUGGAUGUACGCGGAAUAACAACUCCACCUGUCUGGAAGGAUAGAUACAUUGUAGACGACUUUAUUAUGCAAUGGGGUAUUGUAAGCAUGAGAGUAAGCUUGCCUUACGAUCUGUUGAGAUUAAGCCCUUUAU